CCUACGUGAGGCAGCAGUGAGGAAUAUUGGUCAAUGGGCGCGAGCCUGAACCAGCCAAGUAGCGUGAAGGAUGACUGCCCUACGGGUUGUAAACUUCUUUUAUAAAGGAAUAAAGUGAGGCACGUGUGCCUUUUUGUAUGUACUUUAUGAAUAAGGAUCGGCUAACUCCGUGCCAGCAGCCGCGGUAAUACGGAGGAUCCGAGCGUUAUCCGGAUUUAUUGGGUUUAAAGGGAGCGUAGAUGGGUUGUUAAGUCAGUUGUGAAAGUUUGCGGCUCAACCGUAAAAUUGCAAUUUAUACUGGCAGUCUUGAGUACAGUUGAGGUAGGCGGAAUUCGUGGUGUAGCGGUGAAAUGCUUAGAAAUCACGAAGAACUCCGAUUGCGAAGGCAGCUUACUAAACUGCCACUGACAUUGAUGCUCGAAAGUGUGGGUAUCAAACAGGAUUAGAUACCCCUGUAGUC
rnacentral:rRNA from 1 species